AAUAAAAGAUAAAAAGCUUUUAUAAAAACAAAAUUUGAACAGGCUAAUUGCGCCAGAGAGUACAAAUUGAGUGCGCAGUUUGGCACCUCGAUGUCGGCUUAGCUCAUCCACAUGAACGCAGAAAUCAUGAAGGGUAUGACUGUUCGUCGAUUAAAGAGCUACACGAGCUGGGUUUAAUACGUCGUGAGACAGUAUGGUUUCUAUCUUCUAGAGGAAAUUAGAGUAAAAUAAGGAUAGCCCCUUCGUACGAAAGGAGUUGGGUAUGUAAAUCUAUGGUUUACCUGUUGUUUAUAUAUGGGUAGUUUGACUAAAGUAGAAAUAUUUUAAUUAAAUUACUCACACUUUUACUUUUACUAAAGUAAAAUAAUAAUAUGGGCAUGGCAGGAAAGCUAAGUUUAUUAG
rnacentral:ncRNA from 1 species